UGCGGGAGUGCCGCAAGGAACGACAAGACAGGUGCUGCAUGGCUGUCGUCAGCUCGUGUCGUGAGAUGUUGGGUUAAGUCCCGCAACGAGCGCAACCCUUGUCCCUAGUUGCCAGCACGUAAUGGUGGGAACUCUAGGGAGACUGCCGGUGACAAACCGGAGGAAGGUGGGGAUGACGUCAAGUCCUCAUGGCCCUUACGGCCAGGGCUACACACGUACUACAAUGGUCGGUACAGAGGGUAGCGAGGCCGCGAGGUGGAGCCAAUCCCAGAAAACCGAUCCCAGUCCGGAUCGGAGUCUGCAACUCGACUCCGUGAAGUCGGAAUCGCUAGUAAUCGCGAAUCAGCUAUGUCGCGGUGAAUACGUUCCCGGGCCUUGUACACACCGCCCGUCACACCAUGGGAGUUGGCUGCACCAGAAGCAGGUAGUCUAACCGCAAGGAGGACGCCUACCACGGUGUGGUCAAUGACUGGGGUGAAGUCGUAACAAGGUAACCGUAA
rnacentral:rRNA from 1 species